rnacentral:lncRNA from 1 species
GCUGUAGCAUUCUGUCCCUGGAACCUCCACCCGUCUUCCCAGCUCUGUUUUCCCUGUCUCUAGAGAUGGCUCUCCACUGGUGGCCUCAAGAGCAAUGUGUCUUCUAUGUACCCCCUAUCCCUUGGACCUCCCUUUAACCCCAACAGAAACCACUGCCCUGACUGAUUCGGACCACCUAACAGGACUUCCAGGUCCAGAGCCGGCUAGUCAAGGGCGCCCUCCAGUGGUCACCAUCGGGGAGGCAGGAACCUGAUCGCGCAAAAAGAGACGUCUCCUCUAUUCCUUCAACUAACACGGAACCAUUCUCAUGGCCACUCACUGAAGACUAACAGCCACUGCGGCUUCGAGC